ensembl:lncRNA
AUGAUUCCGCAACUUCAAAGACAUGCACUUUUCUGUUAUCUAAAACUGGAGGACACUGCUUCCUACUACUGUAUGCUAGAAGAACACUAUAACAAAAUGUAUUUAUUAGGCUGUACAAAAACUCAUAUUCAAAACUGUGGUGUUUCAAACCACAAAAUACUUCCUUCCCUGCAGUAAAUAAUAUUCUUAGCAGCAGGAGAUGCGGUUACACCUGGCAAAUGAAGAAUACAAAUAUAAUAUGUAAGGCAAUAUGUGACUGGCCGGCUACAUUAUUGUACAAAUUCCAUUCUGAGGAAAGAGGCGGAGCUUCCAGUGGAGACUUCAGUUUGUCACUUGUCAUGAUAUAUUAUUUUGUACUGCCUAGUCUCACAAUGUUGCUGUACAUAGUUAUUUGGAUGUUAACCCUUGCAGGUGGGUAUAUUUUUCUUUAACAAUUGUUUGUGACUGUAUUACUGAAAACCGUUUUAUACUUCAAUAUAUUUCUCUUAUUUUUCAUUUUUAAGAUAUAACUCAUGCAGAAGCUAUUACUCCAGAAUACACAGAAGUGCAUGUAUUUGAGACCAGGAACAUAACACUAUCUUGUAGUUAUUCCUCAGCAUACAGUCUCCUUUGGUAUCGACAGCAUCAUACUUCAGCUGCUCAGUUCCUCAUGCUCAUCCUACAAAGCUCUGGAAAAGUAAUACAGAUUUCAGAUGAGCACGUGUCAGGAAAACUGAAAUCCACUCUUCCAGAGUUAAAGACUCUGAACUGUAUUUCUGCACUCUGCAGACCACAGUGACAGGAAAUUAAAUGUUACUGCACAAAAAGCUGACAGCUUGAGAUCUCAUGGAGUUAGGAGGAGUUUCAAGCAGCUGUAAAAAUCUCAAGUGCCAUCAUAGAUGCACUAUUUCAGCAUGAUGCUACUCACCACAAUUAUCCUGCUCUGUGCUGUUGGGAGUGGAAGGUUUGAGAGUCCCAUUACAUCAGACCAAACUGAGGUCUUUGAUGAGGAGGGUGCCAAUAUAACUUUGUUCUGUAGCUACUCAACUGCAAUUAGUUUGUAUUGGUACCGCCAAUAUCCAAGAUCAGCUCCUGAAAAUCUUUUAUUAAUUUUUCAAACCUCUGGACGGGUCCAGAGCGCAGAGAAUCUGGAUUCUCGGGUUUCUGCAAGACUGAAUGAAAAGAAAAACCGUGUGGCUCUGAUCAUCUCCUCUGUCAAAGUGACAGAUUCUGCUCUGUACUACUGUGCUCUGGAGCCCACAGUGACAGGAAACCUUUACGCACUGUACAAAAACUUGCCUAUGAAAACAUGUUCUCCUGGAUACCUACCCUGUAAACUUCCUUCAACAAGUUAAGAUACUGUAACAACUAAACAGUGUAACAGCCCUAAUAAGAAAAAUAUAUAUGUCAUUAUAAAAAAAAAAGGAAAAUAUCAUGACCUAUCUUUUUGACUUUACUAGAAUUAAUCUGCCAUCUAGUGGUCCUUUAGGCUCAGUACACUGGCUGUAUUAUUUGUGAAAUAUUUAUAGUGACAAUUUAAUAUAGCACUAUUUUUUUUUUUUUUUUUUUUUUUUAAUAAUAGACUGGGAAUAUAAGUAUACAAGUUUUCUUUUGUCUGUUAUUUUUGCAUGUACUGUACAUGUAUAUUUAAUAAUAAUACAUCUAACUGUUCUGGAUUAACACAAUUAAUUUCCCUUGAAAAAAAAGAUGAAAAUAAACAUUAAACUGAAAAUCA